GGAGUUAGCCGGUGCUUCUUCUGUGAGUGAUGUCCUUCCUGCCGGCUAUUAACCCGCAGGCCUUCUUCCUCACUGAAAGUGCUUUACAACCCGAAGGCCUUCUUCACACACGCGGCAUGGCUGGAUCAGGGUUGCCCCCCAUUGUCCAAUAUUCCCCACUGCUGCCUCCCGUAGGAGUCUGGGCCGUGUCUCAGUCCCAGUGUGGCUGAUCAUCCUCUCAGACCAGCUACGGAUCGUCGCCUUGGUGAGCCGUUACCUCACCAACCAGCUAAUCCGACAUAGGCUCAUCCGAUAGCGCGAGGCCCGAAGGUCCCCCGCUUUCCCCCGUAGGGCGUAUGCGGUAUUAGCCUGGGUUUCCCCAGGUUAUCCCCCACUACCGGGCAGGAUUCCUAUGCAUUACUCACCCGUCCGCCGCUCGCCACCAGGGAGCAAGCUCCCCGUGCUGCCGCUCGACUUGCAUGUGUUAGGCCUGCCGCCAGCGUUCAAUCUGAGCCAUGAUCAAACUCUGA
rnacentral:rRNA from 1 species